UUUCCCAAACGCUUCAGUGAGAGACCCCUGUUUUCUCCAAGAAACCGCAACAGAAAUGUAAAAAGGGCCAAUCAAGAUCAACAGAGAGCUAGAGCCCUGCUUCUCAGUGCCCCAGAAGCUGCUGACUGAGUGACUGCUCCACUUUGUCAUCGAGUCCCCAGGAGCCCGAAGCAGCAGCAGAGCCGAAUCAUUCCAGAUACAAAUGUGAGGGCUGGAGCUGUAGCAACUGUAGAAACCAGGUAAUGAGCCAACAUAUUUAGAAAGUUAAAGUUGAAAGGUGGAAGAAACCUGAGGUCCAGAGGGUGUCUUGGAGUAUCUGACCUGUCCCAGAAGCCACAUUUUUCAGUCAUGGGAGAAAGAGAAACUAUUUAAGACAUUGUGAGGUGGAAAUUCAGAGACUUUCCAGCUAAAAAUAUCACAUUUUCCAGGUAAGGGAUCUGAAACGGCAAACAAGUUGUCACAUUUCUAAACUAUUUCAGGGUGCUCUGGGAAUUUGGCCUUCCAUAGUCUGACCCAGAGUA
rnacentral:lncRNA from 1 species